GACUAACGCUGGCGGCGUGCCUAACACAUGCAAGUCGUGCGGGAGAGAGGGGCAACCCUUGAUCUAGCGGCAGACGGGUGAGUAACGCGUAAAUAACCUGCCCUAUUGCUGGGGAUAAGCUUCCGAAAGGGAGUGUAAUACCGAAUAAGUCUUGUGGUCGUCGGACUGUGAGAUAAAAGGAGUAAUCUGCGAUAGGAGGGGUUUGCGUCCCAUUAGCUAGUUGGUGGGGUAACGGCCUACCAAGGCGACGAUGGGUAGCUGGUCUGAGAGGAUGGUCAGCCACACUGGAACUGGGACACGGUCCAGACUCCUACGGGAGGCAGCAGUGAGGAAUAUUGCGCAAUGGCCGAAAGGCUGACGCAGCGACGCCGCGUGGGGGAUGACGGCCUUCGGGUUGUAAACCCUUGUCAGUGGGGAAGAAGAAAGUGACUGUACCCACAGAGGAAGCCCCGGCUAACUACGUGCCAGCAGCCGCGGUAAGACGUAGGGGGCGAGCGUUGUUCGGAAUUACUGGGCGUAAAGAGCUCGUAGGCUGGAAAUUAAGUCUUUGAACAAAUCUCCCGGCUCAACCGGGAACCGUUUAGAGAUACUGAUUUUCUUGAGAACAGGAGAGGGGAAUGGAAUUCCUAGUGUAGCGGUGAAAUGCGUAGAUAUUAGGAGGAACACCAGUGGCGAAGGCGGUUCUCUGGCCUGUUUCUGACGCUGAGGAGCGAAAGCUGGGGGAGCGAACGGGAUUAGAUACCCCGGUAGUCCCAGCUGUAAACGAUGGAUACUAGGUGUAGGAGGUAUCGACCCCUUCUGUGCCGCAGUUAACACAAUAAGUAUCCCGCCUGGGGAGUACGGCCGCAAGGCUAAAACUCAAAGGAAUUGACGGGGGCCCGCACAAGCGGUGGAGCAUGUGGUUUAAUUCGACGCAACGCGAAGAACCUUACCUGGACUUGACAUCCCUUGACCGCCUAUGAAAGUAGGUUUUGCCUGUAGUAAUACAGGCACAAGGAGACAGGUGCUGCAUGGCUGUCGUCAGCUCGUGUCGUGAGAUGUUGGGUUAAGUCCCGCAACGAGCGCAACCCUUGUCCUUAGUUACCAGCGCGUAAUGGUGGGGACUCUAAGGAGACUGCCGGUAAGAAGCCGGAGGAAGGUGGGGAUGACGUCAAGUCAGCAUGGCCCUUACGUUCAGGGCGACACACGUGCUACAAUGGAUCGAACAGAGGGUAGCAAUACAGUGAUGUGGAGCCAAUCCCUAAACCGGUCCUCAGUUCGGAUCGGAGGCUGCAACCCGCCUCCGUGAAGCCGGAAUCGCUAGUAAACGCAGAUCAGCCAUGCUGCGUUGAAUACGUUCCCGGGCCUUGUACACACCGCCCGUCACGUCACCCGAGUCUGUUGCACCCGAAGUCGUUGUUCUAACCUGCAAAGGAAGAAGAUGCCUAAGGUGUGGCCGGUAAGGGGGACG
rnacentral:rRNA from 1 species